UGCAUUAAUAAACACUUUAUUAUUUUUAUUACAGGACUAUCAAAACAAAUAUUCAAGACAAAUUACUAAUAGCCAAACAUAUUUUAUAUGUAAUAUACCUUUCAGGCUAACCAACAUUUAGAAUAUCGGUGACAUUAGCAACGUUCUACAACAUCAGAUACCAAUCUAUAGUCUUCAUUUAUGAAGUGACCAUUGAAUGUUUAUUAAAACGGUUAUUUCUAAAAACACGUUCAUUCUUAAAACACCAUCUUUUAUAUUUCUCUGUAUAAUGGUAAGUUUUGGUUUAGUAAAUCUUUAUAAAGCAAAACCGGUACCGAGAAAAGAACAGCGACUGAAUUAUAAAAGACACGUUUCCUUGGUUUCUUUUCAGUUUCUCCGAUAAAAAUGUUCGGGUUUUCUUUCGAUUCCUGCAAUAUAUUAUCUUCCAAAACCUCUUCCAUUGAUUUACAGGCUUGAUCGAAAUUUUGCAAUUCGAUUUCUUCAAGAAUUUCU